rnacentral:rRNA from 1 species
UACGGAGGGAGCUAGCGUUGUUCGGAAUUACUGGGCGUAAAGCGCGCGUAGGCGGCUUUGUAAGUUAGAGGUGAAAGCCCGGGGCUCAACCCCCGGAAUUGCCUUUAAGACUGCAUCGCUAGAAUCCAGGAGAGGUGAGUGGAAUUCCGAGUGUAGAGGUGAAAUUCGUAGAUAUUCGGAAGAACACCAGUGGCGAAGGCGGCUCACUGGAGCUGGUAUUGACGCUGAGGUGCGAAAGCGUGGGGAGCAAACAGG